UGGGUAACCUGCCCUUCACUCUGGGAUAACUCCGGGGAAACCGGGGCUAAUACUGGAUAUGACUCGAACAGGCAUCUGUUUCGGGUGGAAAGAUUUAUUGGUGGAGGAUGGACUCGCGGCCUAUCAGCUUGUUGGUGAGGUAAUGGCUCACCAAGGCGACGACGGGUAGCCGGCCUGAGAGGGCGAUCGGCCACACUGGGAUUGAGACACGGCCCAGACUCCUACGGGGAGGCA
rnacentral:rRNA from 1 species